rnacentral:lncRNA from 1 species
AUGUAUCCUGGUGGGACCAGCCAGGGAGACGUGUCUGGGAGAUGGAUCCUAAAGGAACCAGCCAAGAAGAUGGAUCCUGAUGGGAACAGCUGGAGAGGCAGAUCCAGCAGCGCUGUCGUUGAUCUCCACAGCACCUCCACCGGAGAGGCUGAGGGUCUUGUUUAUCACUACGGCUGGCUCUCUCCCUGCAGUCACCACCUCUUCCCUGGAUGGAUCCUGUGUGCGGGGGAGGCGGGGAGGGUAUAUGAGGGCUCGACAGGAGUGAAACCGCAGGCAAACGGAGCCCUAGCGCAUCUCUACCUCCCUUCGCUGAUCCGGGGUGCAGUGGGAGUUCAACCAGUAGCCGGGCUGGGACCAGCCGGAGCUAAGGCAGUACAAUACCCCGGCUAUGGACCCCAAGGACUGCAGCCACGACCGGGAGCUCAGAAUGGGUUUGGAGCAGGACUGGGUAUCGGGGUAAAGCUGGGCAAAGCAGGAUUAGGUGCUUAUCCCCAAGGAGCAAAACAAAAGCCAGGGUACUCCCGUGCUGUGCUGCCCCUGGGAGGUUAUAGGGUAAGACCCAUAGCUGGCAGUUACUCCACAGCUCAACAAGGGUACCCUGGAGUAGGCGGUGGGUACGUAGUCAAUGGAGCACAGCCAGGAUAUGGGAAUGGCUAUGGUGCAGGAGGGAACAGUUACCCCGGCGCUGGACUCCAGUCAGGAUAUGGCAACGGUAUGUCCAGUGGCAGAGGGAUGGGAGGGAGGAGGCGAUCCCAGGGCAGGGCUAGA